rnacentral:rRNA from 1 species
UACGUAGGCAGCAAGCGUUGUUCGGAAUUACUGGGCGUAAAGCGCACGUAGGCGGACUCUUAAGUCGGGGGUGAAAUCCUGGAGCUCAACUCCAGAACUGCCUUCGAUACUGGGAGUCUUGAGUUCGGGAGAGGUGAGUGGAACUGCGAGUGUAGAGGUGAAAUUCGUAGAUAUUCGCAAGAACACCAGUGGCGAAGGCGGCUCACUGGCCCGAUACUGACGCUGAGGUGCGAAAGCGUGGGGAGCAAACAGG